CGCAGCCCUGAUGCAGCAACGCCGCGNUGGGGGAUGAAGGCCUUCGGGUUGUAAACCCCUUUUAGCAGGGAAGAAGCGAAAGUGACGGUACCUGCAGAAAAAGCGCCGGCUAACUACGUGCCAGCAGCCGCGGUAAUACGUAGGGCGCAAGCGUUGUCCGGAAUUAUUGGGCGUAAAGAGCUCGUAGGCGGUUUGUCGCGUCUGCUGUGAAAGUCCGAGGCUCAACCUCGGAUCUGCAGUGGGUACGGGCAGACUAGAGUGUGGUAGGGGAGACUGGAAUUCCUGGUGUAGCGGUGGAAUGCGCAGAUAUCAGGAGGAACACCAAUGGCGAAGGCAGGUCUCUGGGCCAUAACUGACGCUGAGGAGCGAAAGCGUGGGGAGCGAACAGGAUUAGAUACCCUGGUAGUCCACGCCGUAAACGGUGGGCACUAGAUGUGGGGCUCUUUCCAUGAGUUCCGCGUCGCAGCUAACGCAUUAAGUGCCCCGCCUGGGGAGUACGGCCGCAAGGCUAAAACUCAAAGAANUUGACGGA
rnacentral:rRNA from 1 species